rnacentral:antisense_RNA from 1 species
UGUCAUGGCAGCUGUGCGCGGGACACCUUCGGGUGUGCCGGGUGCCUAGAGUCCCGGUCGGCCAACCCGCGUGCAGCUGUCACCCAA